CUUGGUGAGGUUAACAAUGUAUUAGUCUUCAAGAACAGUUAUUAUGUUUUAAGGGGAAAAAUCCCACAUGCAGAUUUAAAGUCCUACUUAGACAAUGCAUUUGUGUGUAAAGAAUGUGCA